rnacentral:rRNA from 1 species
GUGAGGAAUUUUGCGCAAUGGGGGCAACCCUGACGCAGCGACGCCGCGUGGAGGACGAAGUCUUUCGGGAUGUAAACUCCUGUCAGUGGGGACGAUAAUGACGGUACCCACAGAGGAAGCACCGGCUAACUCCGUGCCAGCAGCCGCGGUAAGACGGAGGGUGCAAGCGUUGUUCGGAAUUACUGAGCGUAAAGCGUAUGUAGGCGGCAAGUUAAGUUCAAUGUUAAAGCCCACGGCUCAACCGAGGAGAUGCAUUGAAUACUGGCUAGCUAGAGGGUGUUAGAGGAAGACGGAAUUCCCAGUGUAGCGGUGAAAUGCGUAGAUAUUGGGAGGAACAUCGGUAGCGAAAGCGGUCUUCUGGGACAUACCUGACGCUGAGGUACGAAAGCGUGGGGAGCAAACGGGAUUAGAAACCCGUGUAGUCC